rnacentral:rRNA from 1 species
GACGAACGCUGGCGGCGUGCUUAACACAUGCAAGUCGAACGGAAAGGCCCUGCUUUUGUGGGGUGCUCGAGUGGCGAACGGGGGAGUAACACGUGAGUAACCUGCCCUUGACUUUGUGAUAACUUCAGGAAACUGGGGCUAAUACCGGAUAGGAGCUCCUGCUGCAUGGUGGGGGUUGGAAAGUUUCGGCGGUUGGGGAUGGACUCGCGGCUUAUCAGCUUGUUGGUGGGGUAGUUGCUUACCAAGGCUUUGACGGGUAGCCGGCCUGAGAGGGUGAACGGCCACAUUGGGACUGAGAUACGGACCAGAAUGCUACGGGCGGCAGCAGUGGGGAAUAUUGCACAAUGGGCGGAAGCCUGAUGCAGCAACGCCGCGUGCGGGAUGACGGCCUUCGGGUUGUAAACAGCUUUCGAAUGUGACGAAGCGUGAGUGACGGUAAUGGGUAAAGAAGCACCGGCUAACUACGUG